CAAANCCUCUCUGAGGAUCAUAUACAUAUCUGGGACACCCAAGUGUUCCCUGACUCAAACCCUCCCUGCGUACCAAUCCAUGUUGCUUUCCCGGUGGCUCGCUCCCGGGAAAGGGCCUAUCCAAAGCAAAUCGUUGAAUCAGCUGUCUGAGUUGGCCCAGUGCCAUAUUUCUUAAAUAAGUUUAAAACUUUCAACAACGGAUCUCUUGGCUCUCGCAUCGAUGAAGAACGCAGCGAAAUGCGAUAAGUAAUGUGAAUUGCAGAAUUCAGUGAAUCAUCGAAUCUUUGAACGCACAUUGCGCCCCUUGGUAUUCCUUGGGGCAUGCCUGUUCGAGCGUCACUGCAAACCCGCUCAUAUAUAUUAUGGUACUGAUGGAAGUGAACUGAGGCUAGCAGUAUGCCUGGAUCACCCCGUCGAAAUGUAUAGGCAGGACAAUCAACCUUCGCAAUGGACUUAGUAACUGUUUUGAAGACAAAAACCAGUCCCUUGCUAGGUGCUGGCCUGGCCUCUAUGGACCUCCAUCCAAUAUAAAAUCUGGGUUGACCUCGGAUCAGGUAGGGAUACCCGCUGAACUUAAGCAUAUCAAUAAGCGGAGGAA
rnacentral:misc_RNA from 1 species